GACGAACGCUGGCGGCGUGCUUAACACAUGCAAGUCGAGCGGUAAGGCCCUUUCGGGGGUACACGAGCGGCGAACGGGUGAGUAACACGUGGGUGACCUGCCCUCAGCUCUGGGAUAAGCCUGGGAAACUGGGUCUAAUACUGGAUAUGACUCCACGGUGCAUGUCGUGGGGUGGAAAGCCUUGUGCGGCUGAGGAUGGGCCCGCGGCCUAUCAGCUUGUUGGUGGGGNGAUGGCCUACCAAGGCGACGACGGGUAGCCGGCCUGAGAGGGCGACCGGCCACACUGGGACUGAGACACGGCCCAGACUCUACGGGAGGCAGCAGUGGGGAAUCUUGCGCAAUGGGCGAAAGCCUGACGCAGCGACGCCGCGUGAGGGAUGACGGCCU
rnacentral:rRNA from 1 species